rnacentral:rRNA from 1 species
GAUGAACGCUAGCGGCAGGCUUAAUACAUGCAAGUCGUGGGGCAGCAGGGUUGUAGCAAUACAAUCGCUGGCGACCGGCAAACGGGUGCGUAACACGUACGCAACCUUCCCGUUACUGUGACAUAGCCCAGGGAAACUUGGAUUAAUACCACAUAUUAUAUUGGUGAGGCAUCUCAUUGAUAUCAAAGCUUCGGCGGUAACGGAUGGGCGUGCGGUUGAUUAGGUAGUUGGCGGGGUAACGGCCCACCAAGCCUACGAUCAAUAGCUGAUGUGAGAGCAUGAUCAGCCACACGGGCACUGAGACACGGGCCCGACUCCUACGGGAGGCAGCAGUAAGGAAUAUUGGGCAAUGGACGAAAGUCUGACCCAGCCAUGCCGCGUGAAGGAUUAAGGUCCUCUGGAUUGUAAACUUCUUUUCUCUGGGGCGAAAACCAGCUAUUCUUAGCUAUUUGACAGUACCAGAGGAAUAAGCACCGGCUAACUCCGUGCCAGCCGCCGCAGUAAAAC